AUGGUCUCCAAACGCAAACAUAAGAAAGAAGCCCAACUGUCUGUCCCCACGCCCACGGCAUACCCUUCGUUUCCACCUCCCGGCCGUAAUGUCAAAACAAAAAACGCAGCAGUCGCACCCGCUGCCGCCCGUGAUGGCGGAGGGGGCGGCGGCCUGCCCGGGCCGGCAGAGGCGGCGCGGCCGUACGAGCUGGUGUUCGCGGCGGCGGAGCUCCGCUCCAUGGACUGCAACCUCUCGGCGCUCUGCGACAACGUCCAGGCAAAGGGAUUCGGCUCCGGCGGCUUCUCCAAUGUCGUUGUCAAGGCCAUGGGCGUCACCUACCGUCUUCACCGUCUCCUCAUCUCCCGCAGCACCUAUUUCAGGUGGGCUUCCUUCUCGAAUACAGAUGCGGCGACCGAGUAUUUAGGAUUCCAUAUACUGUCAAUGCAUCAGUACGUCUAUUGGGCUGCGCCGUGUGGAUGUUUCAGUACGUCUCAUCCCCUCCCUUCAGCAAGCAGCACACUGUACAUGAGGAGAUUGACCCCAAAGUCCUAA
rnacentral:rRNA from 1 species